rnacentral:snRNA from 1 species
GUGCUUGCUGUGGCAGCACAUAUACUAAAACUGAAACAAUCAGAGAAGAUUAGCAUAGCCCCUGCAUAAGGAUAACGUGCAAAUUCAUGAAGCGUUCCAUAUUUUU